rnacentral:rRNA from 1 species
GACGAACGCUGGCGGCGCGCUUAACACAUGCAAGUCGAGCGAGAACCGGGCCUUCGGGCCUGGGGAAAGCGGCGAACGGGUGAGUAACACGUGGGCAACCCACCCUUGGUAUCCGGAUAGCCCGAGGAAACUCGGAUUAAUACGGAAUGGCCCAACAGCUCUUCGGGGCGGUUGGAAAAGGUAGCUUCGGCCUCCGACCAAGGACGGGCCCGCGGUGGAUUAGCUUGUUGGUGGGGUAAUGGCCUACCAAGGCGACGAUCCAUAGCUGGUCUGAGAGGACGAUCAGCCACACUGGGACUGAGACACGGCCCAGACUCCUACGGGAGGCAGCAGUGGGGAAUCUUGCGCAAUGGGCGAAAGCCUGACGCAGCGACGCCGCGUGGGGAAGAAGGCUUUCGGGUUGUAAACCCUUUCAGGAGGGACGAAGCCACUCAGGUUAAUAGCCGAGAGGGUGACGGUACCUCCAGAAGAAGCCCCGGCUAACUACGUGCCAGCAGCCGCGGUAA